UGACCUGAGCCUUUCGUAACAAAGCUGAAUCUGAUUGUUUUGUUCGUUCGGCUCGAGUCAGG
rnacentral:miRNA from 1 species